CACUCCUACGGGAGGCAGCAGUGGGGAAUAUUGCACAAUGGGCGCAAGCCUGAUGCAGCCAUGCCGCGUGUAUGAAGAAGGCCUUCGGGUUGUAAAGUACUUUCAGCGGGGAGGAAGGCGAUAAGGUUAAUAACCUUGUUGAUUGACGUUACCCGCAGAAGAAGCACCGGCUAACUCCGUGCCAGCAGCCGCGGUAAUACGGAGGGUGCAAGCGUUAAUCGGAAUUACUGGGCGUAAAGCGCACGCAGGCGGUCUGUCAAGUCGGAUGUGAAAUCCCCGGGCUCAACCUGGGAACUGCAUUCGAAACUGGCAGGCUAGAGUCUUGUAGAGGGGGGUAGAAUUCCAGGUGUAGCGGUGAAAUGCGUAGAGAUCUGGAGGAAUACCGGUGGCGAAGGCGGCCCCCUGGACAAAGACUGACGCUCAGGUGCGAAAGCGUGGGGAGCAAACAGGAUUAGAAACCCCUGUAGUCCC
rnacentral:rRNA from 1 species